GUGGGGAAUAUUGGGCAAUGGGCGAAAGCCUGACCCAGCAACGCCGCGUGAAGGAAGAAGGCUUUCGGGUUGUAAACUUCUUUUGUCAGGGACGAAAAAAAUGACGGUACCUGACGAAUAAGCCACGGCUAACUACGUGCCAGCAGCCGCGGUAAUACGUAGGUGGCAAGCGUUAUCCGGAUUUACUGGGUGUAAAGGGCGUGUAGGCGGGAAAGCAAGUCAGAUGUGAAAACUAUGGGCUCAACCCAUAGCCUGCAUUUGAAACUGUUUUUCUUGAGUACUGGAGAGGCAGAUGGAAUUCCUAGUGUAGCGGUGAAAUGCGUAGAUAUUAGGAGGAACACCAGUGGCGAAGGCGAGCUGCUGGACAGCAACUGACGCUGAGGCGCGAAAGCGUGGGGAGCAAACAGGAUUAGAUACCCUAGUAGUCC
rnacentral:rRNA from 1 species